UUUUGGGAUUAACAACAAGUUGAGAAGUAAGACAAAGAGUUAAAACCAUGUCCAAGAUGACUCCCUUAUUAAUAGCAAGAGUCAAAGUUACAGAGACAGCUUCACACGGCAGUCACCUUGGCCUGUUAACUGAAACCCAGAAUCAGGCAGAUGUACCCAGCCCGUGAUGGGCUAGGCUGUACAAGGGAGCCCUCAUGUAGCAGUCCUGACCAUCUGGCUGAGCAGAGACAACGUCAGCUUUCUACACGCAGGCCUGCUUUGUAGUCAAAAGUCUGUCACCCGCCUGGGUGAGCGAAGGAAUGUGCUGGUGCCAAGGAAAAAAUCCCUCCUUGUGGACUUCGGAAACAGAAAAGACAUUCCUUCUAAAAAGGCAUCUGGCUGCUAUACUCACAUUUUUGUUGGCCUAUACCAGGGAUAGAAUUUGCUGCAUCAAAAGACUUUAUAUUACUAAUCCCAAAGGCUCUAAAGGAUUUUUUUUUUGGAGCGGUCAAGAGCUAUUUUGCACUUUCCAACUAGGGCCCAGCAGAAUGGCUCCUGCAAAGAAGGGUGGCGAGAAGAAGGGCCGUUCUGCCAUCAAUGAGGUAGUGACCAGAGAAUACACCAUCAACAUUCACUAA
rnacentral:lncRNA from 1 species